CCUACGGGGGGCUGCAGUGGGGAAUAUUGGACAAUGGGGGCAACCCUGAUCCAGCCAUGCCGCGUGUGUGAAGAAGGCCCUCGGGUUGUAAAGCACUUUCAGUGAGGAAGAACGCCUGGUGGUUAAUACCCAUCAGGAAAGACAUCACUCACAGAAGAAGCACCGGCUAACUCCGUGCCAGCAGCCGCGGUAAUACGGAGGGUGCGAGCGUUAAUCGGAAUUACUGGGCGUAAAGCGCGCGUAGGUGGCUUGAUAAGCCGGUUGUGAAAGCCCCGGGCUCAACCUGGGAACGGCAUCCGGAACUGUCAAGCUAGAGUGCAGGAGAGGAAGGUAGAAUUCCCGGUGUAGCGGUGAAAUGCGUAGAGAUCGGGAGGAAUACCAGUGGUGAAGGCGGCCUUCUGGACUGACACUGACACUGAGGUGCGAAAGCGUGGGUAGCAAACAGGAUUAGAUACCCCUGUAGUC
rnacentral:rRNA from 1 species